UAGGGAAUCUUCGGCAAUGGACGAAAGUCUGACCGAGCAACGCCGCGUGAGUGAAGAAGGUUUUCGGAUCGUAAAACUCUGUUGUUAGAGAAGAACAAGGACGUUAGUAACUGAACGUCCCCUGACGGUAUCUAACCAGAAAGCCACGGCUAACUACGUGCCAGCAGCCGCGGUAAUACGUAGGUGGCAAGCGUUGUCCGGAUUUAUUGGGCGUAAAGCGAGCGCAGGCGGUUUCUUAAGUCUGAUGUGAAAGCCCCCGGCUCAACAGGGGAGGGUCAUUGGAAACUGGGAGACUUGAGUGCAGAAGAGGAGAGUGGAAUUCGAUGUGUAGCGGUGAAAUGCGUAGAUAUAUGGAGGAAAACCAGUGGCGAAGGCGGCUCUCUGGUCUGUAACUGACGCUGAGGAUAGAAAGCGUGGGGAGCAAACAGG
rnacentral:rRNA from 1 species